GUAUAAAAUUAUUAAUCUAGAGCAUACAUGUGUGACUGUAUGACCUCUUUGCAGGGUUUUAUUUAUUAGUGGGUUAAGGUUUCACUCUUCAAUGAACACAAGAUGGCGCAAUAACUUAUUUUAUAGUGGGUCAAGUACUAGAGCACCACACAACCUGCUCACAUUCUGAGAUGAUGGAUUCUACUUUUCACACUAAAACUUUUGUGACAUAGAGUAUACUUGUUGUUCUAUCAUACAUACUGCUGAUAUAAUAUCCUAACCUCUGCCCUGGUUACUGUUAGUGCCUAAGCUAAUUUCAGAGAUACCAUUCUGAUUAAACACCACAGCUGUCCACUUCAGACUAAACUGUCAUAAGAAUAAAUACUCAUCUAAUGUCAUUUCUCUGACAAACAAAAGCACCUGCUGUGUCAGAAACACUGAAAACUGUAAACUUCUCUGGAAAUCUGAAUGUAAAGACAGGACGUUUCAGUAAGAAUCAACAAUCUGACAACAACAUUGGUGACACAGUCAUGUGAUGCUGUGGGGUGGAGCUCUUUAAAGCUUCAUUGUGUUAACAUAUUAGAUUACAGAAAGAUCUGGACUAUUUUCCCUGAGCUAAGACCAGUCAUCAUGUUCACUAUUAUAUUCAUGUAUCUGUGGCUUUCACUAGGUGACUCCAUGGCAGAUUCAAUAGAGACACUUUUCACUCAGAAAGUUGUAGAUGAAGGUGAUGAUGUUACUCUGUCCUGUAGAUACAAAUUCAGCAGUGGUACAAACAACUACCUGCACUGGUACAGACAAUAUCCAAAAUCAAAUCCUGAGUUCCUUAUUUAUAUUUAUCAAAAUGGAGAUCUAAGUCACAACAAGCCUCAAAGAAUGACUGCUAAACUUCAUGGAGAUAAAGAAGUGGAUCUGAUCAUCUCCUCUGCUGCUGUAUCAGACUCUGCUCUAUACUACUGAAGCCCACAGUGACAGGAAAUCCAGCUGCACUGUACAAAAACCUUCACACAGUUUUGUUAUUUUAUAAACAGUUCUGCUCUUCUCUCUCUUUCUUUCUAAUGAUUUUAAUGAGUUUUUAUAACUGACACAUUUUAAUAUUGAGACAGCUUAUUCAUUCAUUCUUCUGUGACUAUUUACCAGAGUCUUUCCUGGAAACUCUGGGAGUAAUUUGGAUAUUUGGAAAACAUUCAAAACUCCACACAGUUACCUGAGCUCAAAACUGAAUAUUUCUGUACAAACUGGUCAUCUAUAUCCAUCAUGCUGUAGCUCACACAGUGCAUAUGUCCUGCACAGAACAGCAUCACUCUGCUGGAUCUGAAAAGAAUGAUCAUUUGAUUCACUCCUAUCUCCUACUCCUAACCACACUGCAUUGUCUCCCAGUCAAAUUUCACAUUGAUUAUAAAAUACUAGUACUGACCUAUAAAACACUGAAUGAUCUCAUGCCAUAGUACCUGAGUCACUUUUUUUAAUGUUCUGCCAUGCCUAUUCAUUUACAUUUACGGCAUUUAGCAGACACCCUUAUCCAGAGUGACUUGCAAC